AUGGCUUCUGCCACUAGCAGCGGCAGCAAGACUCUGAGUGUCCUGCUCUUCCCCCACUUUGCGACCAGCCACAUCGAGCCCUUCACCGAGCUCGCCCUUCGCCUCGCAGCGUCUAGGCCAGACGCCGCCGUGGAAGCGACCGUCGCGGUCACGCCGGCGAACGUCCCGGUCGUCCAGUCCUUCCUGGAUCGCCGAUGGCACGGGCGUAGCGCAGCAACCGUCAGGAUAGUGACGUAUCCGUUCCCAACGGUGGAGGGCCUGCCCAAGGGCGUCGAGAACCUUGGGAAGGCGGCCACUCAGGCGGAUUCCAUGCUCAUCAACCUCGCUGCCUCGAGCGAGACCCUGAUGCGCCCCGCGCAGGAGGCGCUCAUCCGGGCGCGGUCUCCAGACGCGAUCUUCACCGACAUGCUCUUCACCUGGAGCACCGACAUCGCCAACGAGCUCGGCGUGCCAUGCGUCGCACUCAAUGUCGUUGGUGCCUUCCCGAUGCUCGCUAUGCGCCACCUCCUGAUGGAGGACGCUGCGAUCGACGGAGAUGACAUGGUGACAGCCCCUCCGUUUCCGAUCCCUCCUAUACGGGUCCCGAGGACCGAGCUGCCGGACGUAUCGAUAUUUCGACACGUCUUCGGCAAGGUUCAUUCCAUGCAAGCUGCCUGCUUCGGCCUCGCCGCCAACACGUUCUCAGGCCUGGAGCAGCAGUACUGCGACAUGUACAUGGGCCAAGGGUACGUCCAGCGCUCCUACUUUGUAGGGCCUCUCUCGCUGCAACUGCAAUCCUCUGACUCUGAGAGCUCCACGGGUGCUGCUGAUUCUCAGUACAUCGAUUGGCUUGACACAAAGCCAGACCAUUCGGUCGUGUACGUGUCCUUUGGCACGUGUGCCCUCGCAUCGGAGGCUCAGCUGGACCAAAUUGCUCUUGGGUUGGAGGCCUCGGGGAAGUCGUUUUUGUGGGUGGUCAGGGGGGCGGACAAGUGGACUCCACCCAAAGGGUGGGAGGAGCGUGUCGACGACCGGGGGAUCAUCAUCAGAUCCUGGGCUCCACAAACCGCCAUACUAGCUCACCCGGCAGUGGGCGCAUUCGUGACGCAGUGCGGGUGGAACUCCGUCCUAGAGGCGGUGGCCGCGGGCGUGCCUAUGCUCACAUGGCCAAAGGUGUACGAGCAGUUCAUCACCGAGAGGCUAAUCACGGACGUACUAGGAAUCGGGGAGCGACUGUGGCCGCACGGCGCUGGCUUACGAAGCGAGGAUUACGAAAAACAUGAGGUGAUCCCGGCCGACGAUGUGGCGCGGGCGUUGCUCACAUUCAUGCAUCCUGGAGGGCCUGGGGAGGUGAUGAGGACCAGGGUAAUGGACCUCGCCUCAAAGUCUCGUGCGGCCAUGGCAGAAGGAGGCUCCUCGCAGAAUGAUUUGCACCGCCUCGUCAAUGAUCUCAUCGCAGCAAGAGGAUAG
rnacentral:rRNA from 1 species